rnacentral:ncRNA from 1 species
ACUCCUGUGAGAAUGCCCUAAUAGUUCCCCGCCCGGGAACAAGGAGCUGGUAUCAGGCACAACCCUAGUUAAGCCCACGACGCCUUGCUUAGCCACACCCUCAAGGGAACUCAGCAGUGAUAAACGUUAAGCCCUAAGUGAAAACUUGACUUAGUCAAAGCUAAGAGGGCCGGUAAAACUCGUGCCAGCCACCGCGGUUAUACGAGAGGCCCAAGUUGACAGACAGCGGCGUAAAGAGUGGUUAAGUUAAAAUUGUACUAAAGCCGAACACCCUCCAGGCUGUUAUACGCAUCCGAAGGUAAGAAGUUCAACCACGAAGGUGGCUUUAUUUAGUCUGAACCCACGAAAGCUACGACACAAACUGGGAUUAGAUACCCCACUAUGCCUAGCCCUAAACAUUGAUAGUAUUAUACACCCACUAUCCGCCUGGGAACUACGAGCAUUAGCUUAAAACCCAAAGGACUUGGCGGUGCUUUAGAUCCACCUAGAGGAGCCUGUUCUAGAACCGAUAACCCCCGUUCAACCUCACCUUUCCUUGUUUUUCCCGCCUAUAUACCGCCGUCGUCAGCUUACCCUGUGAAGGCUAAAUAGUAAGCAAAACUGGUAGAACCCAAAACGUCAGGUCGAGGUGUAGCGUAUGGGAAGGGAAGAAAUGGGCUACAUUCGCUAGCAUAGCGAACACGGACGAUGCGCUGAAACGUUCAUCUGAAGGAGGAUUUAGCAGUAAGCAGGAAAUAGAGUGUUCCGCUGAAAUCGGCCCUGAAGCGCGCACACACCGCCCGUCACUCUCCCCAAGCCUACCAACUUAAUUAAUUAAACCACAAUAAUCGCAAAGGGGAGGCAAGUCGUAACAUGGUAAGUGUACCGG